rnacentral:rRNA from 1 species
AGAGUUUGAUCCUGGCUCAGAACGAACGCUGGCGGCAGGCUUAACACAUGCAAGUCGAGCGCCGUAGCAAUACGGAGCGGCAGACGGGUGAGUAACGCGUGGGAAACUACCUCGAGGUACGGAACAACUCGGCGAAAGCUGAGCUAAUACCGUAUGAGCCCGAAAGGGGAAAGAUUUAUCGCCUUGGGAUGUGCCCGCGUAGGAUUAGCUAGUUGGUGGGGUAAUGGCCCACCAAGGCGACGAUCCUUAGCUGGUCUGAGAGGAUGAUCAGCCACACUGGGACUGAGACACGGCCCAGACUCCUACGGGAGGCAGCAGUGGGGAAUAUUGGACAAUGGGGGCAACCCUGAUCCAGCCAUGCCGCGUGAGUGAUGAAGGCCUUAGGGUUGUAAAGCUCUUUCGACGGGGAAGAUAAUGACGGUACCCGUAGAAGAAGCCCCGGCUAACUUCGUGCCAGCAGCCGCGGUAAUACGAAGGGGGCUAGCGUUGUUCGGAAUCACUGGGCGUAAAGCGCACGUAGGCGGGCCGUUAAGUCGGGGGUGAAAGCCUGGAGCUCAACUCCAGAACUGCCUUCGAUACUGGCGGCCUUGAGUCCGGGAGAGGUGAGUGGAACUCCUAGUGUAGAGGUGAAAUUCGUAGAUAUUAGGAAGAACACCAGUGGCGAAGGCGGCUCACUGGCCCGGUACUGACGCUGAGGUGCGAAAGCGAGGGGAGCAAACAGGAUUAGAUACCCUGGUAGUCCACGCCGUAAACGAUGGAAGCCAGCCGUUGGCCAGCAUGCUGGUCGGUGGCGCAGCUAACGCAUUAAGCUUCCCGCCUGGGGAGUACGGUCGCAAGUUUAAAACUUAAAUGAAUUGACGG